rnacentral:rRNA from 1 species
AAUCAACGCUGGCGGCGUGCCUAACACAUGCAAGUCGCGCGCGAAAGGGGGGCAACCCCCGAGUAGAGCGGCGAACGGGUGAGUAACACGUGGGUGAUCUUCCUUCGAGUGGGGAAUAACACCGGGAAACUGGUGCUAAUACCGCAUGACAUCCUCGGUUCAUUCCGAGGAUCAAAGCCGGGGACCGCAAGGCCUGGCGCUUGAAGAUGAGCCCGCGUCCGAUUAGCUAGUUGGCGGGGUAACGGCCCACCAAGGCGACGAUCGGUAGCC